CUAGAAGAGUCUACAGCAGUAGAGGCACCAAUGUUUGUGCUAGAAGCCAUAGUUAAAGGAUCGGUUUAAAUGAACGACCUUUUAACAAACACAAUACUACCAAAACAAGUAUUCAAACACAAAGACCAACAAACAGUCUACAGUCAGGUCAAAUAUUCACAGACAACACCAAUAACACGAGUUGCUCACAAGAACAGAGUCAAAUAAUCACAUAUAAUAUCGAAGAUAAGGACAGAGUUACCCUCAUUCUUCACGACCGGAGAAGAUCGGCCUUCAAACAACGGAGAAACCCUAGGUAUCAAACCCUAGGUGUAACCUUGAAAACACACUUUACCGGAAAUCUGGUUAGGAACUUCGGGAAAUCACCCAAAGCGUCCACAAAGUGAUAAUUGAGCCACCGGAAUACGGUAAAACCUCAGGUUAAACCGUCAAAAACCCUAGAAGCCGAUAGGUCACCCAAAAUCAACCAACCAAAAUCUAUCCAGAAUGUUCAGCAGAGUGAAACACACUUGGAUAUCACGAUGAGAACCUUAGAAAGGUCUCCAUUAGGUUGAAAUCUUCAUCGACCCUGAGGUCUCAGAAAUCACCCCCAAAAACCUCGAAACAGACUUCAUCCAGG
rnacentral:lncRNA from 1 species